AGAAACAAACUUCUGACCAAAAUAUACAAGUUGAAAGAGAGCGACUGUUAGAGGGGAAUAAAGCAGUCCAAGAGGUACAGUAACCCACAGAAACACAGGAGAAGAGGAACAUGGGGAUGUACAUGGGUAUGGUUCUGUAACAGGUACAAAAACAGAGAUAAUACAUAUGAACAGAGCAGGAUGAACGUAUGCAUAUCAAAUGAGCUACAACAGAGAACAAAAAUGGAACAGAACUGCAAAAGCACAAUAGUGUGGGUUAGGCUGGCUAGCCAAUCAGGACCACAGAGAGACUGCAUGGAGAAAGGCUGAGGAUGGGUCUGCACUUCUGAUUGUUGGCAAACAGGCGGCACCCUUCUGAAAGCGAACUGCUCAGCUCUUUUGAGAGCUAUCAGAUGAAAAUAAACAAAGAGGGGGAAAAAGCAGAUUUUCAGUGUGUUUAUACAGUUGAAGUCAGAAGUUAACUUAGCCAAAUAUAUUUAAACUCAGUUUUUCACAAUUCCUGACAUUUAAUCCUAGUAAAAAAUCCCUGUAUUAGGUCAGUUAGGAUCACCACGUCAUUUUAAGAAUGUGAAAUGUCAGAAUAAUAGUUGAGACAAUGAUUUAUUUCAGCUUUUAUUUCAUUCAUCACAUUCCCAGUAGGUCAGAAGUUUACAUACACUUAAUUGGUAUUUGGUGGUAGCAUUGCCUUUAAAUGGUUUAACUUGGGCCAAACGUUUCAGGUAGCCUUCCACAAGCUUCCCACAAUAAGUUGGGUGAAUUUUGUCCCAUUCCUCCUCACAGAGCUGGUGUAACUGAGUCAGGUUUGUAGGCCUCCUUGCUCGCACACGCUUUUUCAGUUCUACCCACACAUUUUCUAGGAUUGAGGUGAGGGCUUUGUGAUGGCCACUACAAUAGCUUGACUUUGUUGUCCUUUAAGCCAUUUUGACACAACUUUGGAAGUAUGCUUGGGUUCAUUGUCCAUUUGGAAGUUUUAACUUCCCGACUAAUGUCUUGAGAUGUUGCUUCAAUAUAUCAUGAUGCCAUCUAUUUUGUGAAGUGCACCAGGCCCUCCUGGUUCUAUUUUUGUUCAGAACAGAGGAUAUUUCUCAAAAAAAAUACAAUAUUUGUCCCCAUGUGCAGUUGUAAACCGUAGUCUGGCUUUUUAUGGCGGUUUUGGAGUAGUGGCUUCUUCCUUGCUGAGCAGCCUUUCAGGUUAUGUCGAUAUUGGACUCGUUUUACUGUGGAUAUAGAUACUCUUGUACUUUUUUUUCUGAGGUCUUGGCUGAUUUCUUUUGAUUUUCCCAUGAUGUCAAGCAAAGAGGCACUGAGUUUGAAGGUAGGCAUUGAAAGACAUCCACAGGUACACCUCCAAUUGACUCAAAUGAUGUCAAUUAGCCUAUCAGAAGCUUCUAAAGCCAUGACAUCAGUUUCUGGAAUUUUCUGAGGUGUUUAAAGGCACAGUCAACUUAGUAUAUGUAAACUUCUGACCCACUGGAAUUGUGAUACAGUGAAUUAACCUGUGUAAACAAUCGUUGGGAAAAUUAUUUGUGUCAUGGACAAAGUAGAUGUCCUAACCAAUUUGCCAAAACUAUAGUUUGUUAACAAGAAAGGUGUGGAGUGAUUGCAAAACCAGCUUUAAUGACUCCAACCUAAGUGUGUAAACUUAAACUGUAUAUGUUACUUUGGCAAAUAAUGUUACCAUCUAAAGAGUGUUUUUUAAUAAUUAACCAAAUGUAUUGUGUUUUUGUUUUACAUGCAUGACCAUUAGUUUCAUUAUUUAUUGUUAUGCUGUAAAUUGGUAUUUUAUGGUUGUAAGCAGUGGGAAUUUUAGCAUGUAAAUCUUGGUGGGGAAAACUCAAUUAUACCAUUUUUUUGAUGCAUGCCAGCAGAACCACUACACAACAUGUUAUUUUAUUAGGCUUAUGUGAUUGAAAAGGGAAGGAAAAUACAAUACAGGAUCCACACUCAGACAAUAUAAAGACAGACGGUGCAUUAUGCAAACAAAAAAAACAAUCCUUGCAAUAUCAACUGGAAUUACAUGAGUCUAUAACUGAACUUUUUGUUAAAAAAAAACAUUAUGGGAAGUGUCACUUGCAAACAUGGUUACAGACCCAACAACAUA